AUGGCCAGCCUUGCCAGAGUGUGUUCGCUACUGCUUGUUGGCGUCGCCGUCGUCCUGCUCCUGCCCGGCACGUACGGGUGGCACGAGAGCAACUGCCCGCCGGGACAUGGCGGCGGUGGUGGUGGUGGUGAUCCUGGACACCACCACCCGCCCCACCACGGCAAGCCGCCCAAGCACCACCACGGCCCUCCGUCGGGCCACAAAUGCCCGCCGUGCCACCCGCCGCCGACGCCGCGUCCACCGCCGACUCCACCAUACGGCCCUCCUACGCCACUGCCACCGCCGUACGUGCCGCCCACGCCGAGCCCACCGCCCUACACCCCGCCGACGCCACCGUACAUUCCUCCAAGUCCGCCGUACGUGCCACCAACGCCACUUCCACCGCCAUACGUGCCACCAUACGUCCCGCCGACGCCGCCAUACACUCCGCCCUACGUCCCGCCAACUCCACCAUACACGCCGUCACCGCCCUACGUGCCACCGACACCGCCCUACGUGCCGCCGCCGUCGCCGGGGCCGGGGAGGAAGACGUGCCCGAUCGACGCGCUGAAGCUGAACGCGUGCGUGGACGUGCUGAGCGGGCUGGUGCACCUGGUGAUCGGGCGGGAGGCGCGGAGCAAGUGCUGCCCGCUGGUGCAGGGGGUGGCGGACCUGGACGCGGCGCUGUGCCUCUGCACCACCAUCCGGGCGCGGGUGCUCAACAUCAACAUCUACCUCCCCGUGGCGCUCCGGCUGCUCAUCACCUGCGGCAAGCACCCGCCCAACGGCUUCCAGUGCCCCACCGACCUCGACGCCUAG
rnacentral:rRNA from 1 species